AGGCAGAGAGACCGUAGCAGAAGCCGGGACCGAUAUGAUGAGAGAUAUCGAGGUAGGGACAGGGAUCGUUACAGAAGCAGAAGUCGCAGCAGAAGUCCUGAUUAUCGCAGAGAACGUAGAAGAGGGAGAUACGAUGAUGAUAAGGGCAGAAGUUCGUCUCCUAACAGGAGUGUUUCUCCUCCUGCUCGGGGCAGUGCUAGCCCGCGGAAGAGCGUGUCUCCGCGCAGGUCACCUUCUAGAAGCAGAAGUCCCGUAGCUCGUGAUGAAAAGGAGCGGUCGCCUACUCCAAAAAGUGUUUCACCCCGUGGCAGGUCUGACUCUCGAAGCCCAUCACCACAACGAUCUGAUGCUGACGAGUGAAAAGUGAAGUAAAUCGUUGAAGACUGCAUGAAUUAAAAGCGAUGUUCCUUUUUCUGAUGAGCUGGAUGAAUUCUUGAACUCAUAUGCGUAUUUCUAAGUUGCUGUAUGCUGUUGGUGAGAACCGGUCCAGCUUGCAGCGGUUAAGCUGUUGGUUGAUGUCUUUUGAG